ACGGUAGGAAUUGGUUAAAUUGAUGUAGAAAGUGCUCCUAGACCUUAGAUAAUGUUUAGGACGAACUUUGGAAUCAAUAUUAGGCUUAGAACCAUGUGAAUCGUUGAAUUUUUGUGAAAAUAGCAAGUCUGGCCGUAGCGACAUUCAUCGCUCGCCACGGCGAGCUAUGAGUCUCGCCUCGCGAGUGAUGAACAUUCAUCGCUCGCCUCGCGAACCCUUUUCCCUCG
rnacentral:lncRNA from 1 species